rnacentral:rRNA from 1 species
AUUGAACGCUGGCGGCAGGCCUAACACAUGCAAGUCGAGCGAGCGGGGGACGGGUGAGUAAUGCCUGGGAAUUGCCCAGUCGAGGGGGAUCACAGUUGGAAACGACUGCUAAUACCACAUCCGCUUUGAUUGCCCAGGUGGGCUUAGCUAGUUGGUGAGGUAAUGGCUCACCAAGGCGGAGAUCCCUAGCUGGUCGGAGAGGAUGAUCAGCCACACUGGAACUGAGACACGGUCCAGAAUCCUACGGGAGGCAGCAGUGGGGAAUAAUGCACAAUGGGGGAAACCAUGAUGCAGCGAUGCCGCGUGUGUGAAGAAGGCCUUCGGGUUGUAAAGAACUGUCAGCGAGGAGGCGUUACUCGCAGAAGAAGCACCGGCUAACUCCGUGCGAGCCGCCGCGGUAAUUC